rnacentral:rRNA from 1 species
UACGUAGGUGACAAGCGUUGUCCGGAUUUACUGGGCGUAAAGAGCGCGCAGGCGGUCGAUCAAGUCGAGUGUGAAAGCCCCCGGCUCAACUGGGGAGGGUCAUUCGAUACUGAUCGACUUGAAGGCAGGAGAGGGUAGUGGAAUUCCCGGUGUAGUGGUGAAAUGCGUAGAUAUCUGGAGGAACACCGGUGGCGAAGGCGGCAUCCUGGACCAACACUGACGCUGAGUGAGCGAAAGCCAGGGGAGCAAACGGG